rnacentral:rRNA from 1 species
AGCGAACGCUGGCGGCAGGCUUAACACAUGCAAGUCGAACGCCCCGCAAGGGGAGUGGCAGACGGGUGAGUAACACGUGGGAACGUACCCUUUGGUUCGGAAUAACUUGGGGAAACUCAAGCUAAUACCGGAUAAGCCCUCAUGGGGAAAGGUUUACUGCCGAAGGAUCGGCCCGCGUCGGAUUAGCUAGUUGGUGAGGUAAUGGCUCACCAAGGCGACGAUCAGUAGCUGGUCUGAGAGGAUGAUCCGCCACCCUGGGACUGAGACACGGCCCAGCCUCCUCCGGGAGGCAGCAGUGGAGAAUAUUGGACAAUGGGGGCAACCCUGUUCCAGCCAUGCCGCGUGAGUGAUGAAGGCCUUAGGGUUGUAAAGCUCUUUUACCCGGGACGAUAAUGACUGUACCGGGAGAAUAAGCCCCGGCUAACUUCGUGCCAGCAGCCGCCGUAA